rnacentral:rRNA from 1 species
UUGUUGCGGUUAAAACGUUCGUAGUUGAAUUUGUGUCCCACACGGGUAAUUGGCCCACUUACGGGAUCUUAUUACUUGCCGGCUUGCUGGCUUUAGUGUGCGGACGUUUUACCGGUGAGGGAAACGGUGUAGUUUCGGCUGCAAUACGCCCCUUAUUUAUUUCAUAAACCCGUCUUGGUGCUUUUAAUCGAGUGCCAAUGUGGGCCGGUACUAUUACUUUGAACAAAUUAGAGUGCUUAAAGCAGGCUAAAUUUAAUGAAAGUUAAAACGCCUGAAUAUAUUUUGCAUGGAAUAAUGGAAUAGGACCUCUGUUCUACUUUCAUUGGUUUUUAGACCAAGAGGUAAUGAUUAAUAGAAGCAGUUGGGGGCAUUAGUAUUACGAGGCGAGAGGUGAAAUUCGUAGACCCUCGUAAGACUAACUUAAGCGAAAGCAUUUGCCAAGGAUGUUUUCAUUAAUCAAGAACGAAAGUUAGAGGAUCGAAGGCGAUCAGAUACCGCCCUAGUUCUAACCAUAAACGGUGCCAGCUAGCAAUUGUAUGUAGCUACUAAUUUUGGUUCAUACAGUCGCUUUCCGGGAAACCAAAGCUUUUGGGCUCCGGGGGAAGUAUGGUUGCAAAGCUGAAACUUAAA